CACUCACAUUUGCUUUUGCUAUAGCUUAUUAUACAUGCUUCUCUAUGAGAGUAUAUCAUAUAUGGUUUGAUUAAAUUGUUUUAGUUAUAUACAACAUAUAUAUUCUUCAUUUUUAUUUAUAUAGGGCUAUAUGGUGGUUGGAAAUGAAUUGAAAAGAGAGAUUAUGGUUGAUGGGAAUGUUGUUUGGCUCGAGGCUUCAUUCCUACCAACUCGAUCUCUCUAAAUACCUUGAUCUUCUCAUGGCCAUGGCUAGUUUGAGGUAAGGUGAUGCUAAAGUCUUUAUCAUGAUAACAAGAUCUUCUAGUAUUUUUUUAUAGGAAAUGUUUGUAAGGGAAGAUAAUAUUUUCUAGAUUUUCUGGUUUGUGUUUGUUCAUGUAUUGCAUGAGACAAAUUAACUUGAAAUUUGAAGGAAAAAAAAACAUUUGUCAAAAACAUGUACUAACGACCAAGAGAUCAGAAAGAUGCCUUUCCUCUGAGCUUGUUGUUGGUGUUGGUGCAUUGAUAUUGCCUCUGCUUAUAUGUUUGUCUUCUUUCAUGUGGCUUCAUAUAUAUAUAUAUAUAUAUAUAUAUAUAUAUACAUAUAUAUAUAUAUAUAUCUCUAUAAACUAAUUAGAAUUGGUAUAGAAUAAACCAUAUAUUUGAUCUCUAAACUAUCAUUGUUUCUCUCAUCAAUUUAGUCAUCUUUCACCAAUUUAAUCUUUUAAACUAUUGAAAUAUUCCAUGUAGUCCUUAAAAGUAAAAGAGAAAUUGAUAACUCAAAGAUUAUCUUGAUGACUUAAAAAUAGUUUAGAGAUUAAAAAAAUUGUUCCAACAUGACAAGGGUAAUUUAGAUUUUUAGAAAUAUAUUACCUUUUUUUAUUUAUACAAUUUUUUUUAACGAAUUCAUACACUCUUUAAUUUAUAUAAAAUUGUCAAACUGAUAAUUCAUUUCAUUAUAAGAUAAACGAAGUAAAUUAGAAAGGUGCACAGAAAUCAAAAUGACCAUAAUUGUUUUAUUGAGUUAUGAUUAGUGAGUGAUUGUCAUUAACUUUUUGUAAUUGAUGUAAAGUAAACACAUGGGAUUUUGAAUGUCUGCAUUUUGUCAAUAUACUUGAGGGUUUCAAAUUCUUUCUUUUCUUGCUAAAACUUUCAACCCAAUCAAAAUAGUUUGCCUUGUUUUUUUUCAGCUAACAGCACAUUAAUGCUCGCUCCGUUCUUUUAUAACUGUCGCUUUUAUAUAAUUUUUUUGUUUCUAAUUAACUGUCAUUUUCAAAGUUCAAUGUAACAUUAAAUGUUGUUUUUCCUAUUAUGUCCUUAGUAAUUUAUUGCAGAGAGAGAAAUAUAUGAAAUAUGAUAUUAAAUAAUUAAAGAUAUUAUAGGCAAAACAUAAGUUAUUGCAUCAAAAGUAGUGAAAUGCAUUUAGUGUCUUGGUUUGUGUAAAAAAUCAAAAUGCGACAAUUAAAAAGGAGCAGAGGGAGUAAUUUAUACCGUUCUCUCUCCAAGAUUCAUGUUCUUGACAUAUCGAGUGUAUACUUACUUUCAUUCAUAUUUUUUUGUAGUUUAUUAAUUCCAAGGCAUUAAUUUUAACAAUUUUCAUGGCAAAAAUUCUCGAAUUUAGUUUGUUGAAUCUCAAUCUCAUAACUUUUGCAAAAUCACGGUGAGUUAAAGUAGUUUAGUCAAACUUACGCUGAAUUUAAACAUGCAUAAACACGAGAUAAAUAUAAUGAUUUCAAAACAAAAUUAGUAUUAAUUAGCAUUAGCACAAACAUUCCACUUUCAUUGUUGGUUGAUUCUUUUGAUCAUAGGUGCAACUGGCGGCUGUUGCAGUUGUUUUUUGUUUUCUUGUUGUCUCUUUUUCUUUUGUUAGCUAGUUGACUCAGAUGUUGACUAUUGACUAAGUGUACUUUGGAUCUAGUCCCCAAAACUAGCCUAAAUGUAUGCAUUUUAGUUUCCUAUCAAUUCAAGUUGAGGUCAAGUUGUAUAUCUCUUUCUUGGUUGCAUACAAUUUGAAGUACAUAAAACCAAAACAUGAGUCAAAGAAAAAACAAAAAAUCAAAAGUGAUUUCUUUCAAGUUCAAGUUGAAGUCCAAGAUCAUGAUAACAAUGAUGUUAUCUCCUAGAGAAAUUGUACUUUUUAUUCCUUUGAUCUGAACACCAUUCAGAAGGGAAAAAUGUUACCUAGCUUUAGGAGGAAAAAGUGAUAGAAAAAGACCAAAAGUGCUUAUUUUGGAAGCUAUAAUAGUGAACAUUAGCAUUUGAAAUGUGCUACCAUGGACCUUUAAUGUAGUAUUGUAUUGAUUUCAACAAAUGUGUUCAUUCAACUAAGGAAUUAUGAGAAUGCAUUUUCUUUGUUCAUUUA